rnacentral:ncRNA from 2 species
CCUCCGCCGCGUGCAACCGGUGCCGCAGCAAUGCGGCUUAAAAGGGAAGCGGAUGUAACUUCCGCACUGUCCCCGCAACUGUAAGCGUCGAGUAUUCUUCACAUGCCACUGGAUCAACCGGGAAGGCGAAGGAUGCGCCCGAGACGCGAGUCAGGAGACCUGCCGCUGCUGUCGUCCUUCG